rnacentral:rRNA from 1 species
AGAACGAACGCUGGCGGCAUGCCUAAUACAUGCAAGUCGAACGAACACUUCGGUGUUAGUGGCGCACGGGUGCGUAACGCGUGGGAAUCUGCCCUUGGGUUCGGAAUAACAGUUGGAAACGACUGCUAAUACCGGAUGAUAUCGAAAGAUCAAAGAUUUAUCGCCCAGGGAUGAGCCCGCGUAGGAUUAGCUAGUUGGUGAGGUAAAGGCUCACCAAGGCGACGAUCCUUAGCUGGUCUGAGAGGAUGAUCAGCCACACUGGGACUGAGACACGGCCCAGACUCCUACGGGAGCAGCAGUAGGGAAUAUGGACAAGUGGGCACAAGCCUAGACUCCAGCAAGUGGCCGCGUGAGUGAUGAAGGCCGUUAGGGUAGUAAACGCUCCGUUUAACCCGAGUA